CCAGGCUCACUCUCAUUUGUUAAAGUGACGUUGUCAAUAAGAUGGGAAAUUUCACUCUCCGGCAGAAUGGCAGUGGAAUGUGAGUCAGGGCCUGGCACUCCCCACUGUUCUCCCGAGACCGCCAUGUUGGCAACAGAAGUGGUGGAGCUCCCGUGGCUGAUGUCUUUGUGGAGGAGAGCGCUAGAGGAAGAGGACAACUUUCUGUUGAAAUUUGGGAAAUGUUGGUCUUUUAUACUUGCCUUCCCUUUUCUUCCAUCCUUAUCUUCUGCUGAAUGAAACAAAGAACAUUUUAGGUAACAUGUAUCACUUUUUGUAGGCCCUGCCAACACUCAUGUUUGUCUUCAGACAGACAAAUGGAGAAUGUAGAUCUGUUACAUCAUGACAGAAUAUAGUUAUGGACUGCAGAGGUUUGUAACAAAGUGUCUGUGUGAUGAAUAAAUGGUAAACUAUAUUUAUAGGAAUUUCACUGAAGCUUCCCUUUGAGUAUCUAUUACAUCAGCUAAGGAUGUAAUAGUCGUUGUCAAAAAAAAAAUGUCAAUGAGUUACCAUACUUUUACAGUGAGGAUUACCUUAAGUUGUUUCCUAUUCAGAUUUGUACUACACAGAAGCAUGGCAAUAAAAAUAGAACAAGA